CGUUUUGUGUGCUGUGACUGCAGGAUAAUUAUUUUAAUAUGCCUGUACUUCAACAACAUAUUUAAAACAACAACAGCCAGUAUGACUGCAAAGAAAAGAAGAAUAGUGGAUGAAAAUAGAAAGUAUAGCGAUGAAUGGGAAGAAAAGUACUUCUUCAUAGUUCAAAAUACAAAAUUAUUAUGUUUAAUUUGCCGAGAGGUCGUUGCUGUAUUUAAGGAAUAUAAUGUUAAGAGGCAUUACGAAACAAAACAUAAGGAUUAUUUGAAGUUCGAUAAAGAAGUGAAACAAUCGAAGCUCAAGGAGUUUAAGUCGCAAUUAAAGGCUCAACAAAAAAUGUUUGGUGCAGCAUUACAGCAACCUUCCAAUAUUGUUAAGGCAAGCUAUUCUGUUUCAUUUGUGAUUG